ACAUACUGGGUGUGGGAGAUAAAUGCUCUUCAGGCAGCAGCAGACGAAGAGCUGCAGUUUUACCAGUGCAGGGCAACACUGCAUUAUAUUUGUAUUACUUGAAAAAAAACAUUUUAUUUUUUAUGUUACUGUUCCUUUAAUAUAUGUAUUCACUCUUCCAUAAAUCCGCGCAAUAUCACGCCCCAUUGGUUAUUGUUGUUUUGUUUUUCACAAGGUGUCUAUCUUCUCACUUCCCCUGAAAUCCCUCAUCAAUUGACUCAGACAUUGAGGAAACGUUUCGUAUGAGCGGACUGCGGAAUCCUGUGCAAUUUACACCGCGGGACUCUGACAAUUUAAAAUCGCAUACUCGAUUGCGAGGAUUUUGAAUUGUUUUUUAUUUGCUUAUUAUUAUUAUUUUCUUUCUUGACUAACCGCCUAUGGUUUGGCCGAUCAUUACAAAAAAAACACCACGGGGCUGUAAGGACAUAGCCCUCCCCAAAUUGUUGUUUACUUCUCCUCACAACCUGGCGAUAGUUUCCCGCCCACUGCGAGAGGCGCAAGGAAAGCCAGACAACCCCGGUGACCAAUUACAGCGCGCCAAACGCUCAUCUGGCCCGAAUCUUAGCCAAUAAGCGUAGUCCAAACCCCGCCUUCUUACUACUGGCAGCUUUGCGGCAUAGGGGCGCGUCCCUCCCCCCGCAGCCACCAAUGAGAUAGCUGUUUACAUUCUACAGCGUGAGUAAAAAAACAGGCGGGGUGACAGAAGUAUUAUUAUUAAGCCAGCCCGUUUUCAUGUAGAUUUAGGAAGGGAGCAAGACGAUUGGCUACAUAGCCUGUCAAUGACUUCUCGGAACCUCUUUUUUUUGUUUUCUUCAGUGUUUUAUUGGUAGGCAGCGGAGACUCAGUGUGACGCAUCCGGGCGGGGUCACGUGUUGUUUUCGCCGUGCUGUUUCCCUCCCCCCUCCAGCUACAGUCUGUCUGUAUUGAGUACGCGCGGCAGGAGGAUUCUGUCGUCUCCCCCGGUUUUGUUUGGGAGCAAGGAGUUUCCACCCGGCAAGGAAAAUGAGCGGAAUUAAACACUGACCUCCCGCCGCAUCACGUUUAAUUCAUUGGCAGAGGGAGGAGAAGUAGCGGGUGCCGCAGAGACGAGCAGGCGGUACGGCGCACGCCGGCGGCGGGGUUUCCCAAUCCCUCCAUGGCGGGUGUGCUGUGUCCUACAGAAGAGGACAGAUCCAUUCGCGCAGCCGUGAGGAUGCUCCCCCCGCAGCCGUGUCCAGAUGAGAGCGGCGGAUACAGGCGCAUGUCUGGACCGACGCUGUCGCAGGUACAGGAGGAACCGGCAGCCGAAACCCCGCAGCCGCCGGCACCCGCCUCCACCGCGGAAGAUGAUGUGAGGAAACGCGGCUACCUGCGGAAGCAGAAACACGGACACAAGCGCUACUUCGUGCUGCGGAGCCAAAGCCACCUGGGUCCUGCCCGGCUCGAGUACUACGACAACGAGAAGAAGUUCCGGAGCGGACAGCGGAGCGGCUGCCACCCCAAGAGAGUCAUCCCGCUGUACCUGUGUUUCACAGUCAGUCGUCGGGCUGAUGCCAAGAACAAGCACCUCGUGGCUCUCUACACCAAGGACGAGUACUUCGCUAUGGCGGCAGAGAACGAGCAGGAGCAGGACGGCUGGUACCAGGCCCUCAGCGAGCUCAUCAACGAGAGCAAGGGCGCCUGCCUGGACACCGAGGAGCUGGAGGAGAACUACGGAACUCUCAGGCCGGGCACUGUCUUCAAAGAGGUGUGGCAGGUAAACGUGAAGCCCCGGGGGCUGGGACAGGCUAAGAAUCUGUCGGGGGUCUAUCGCUUGUGUCUGUCCAGCAAGGCGGUGCAUCUGGUGAAGCUGAACUCGGACGUGGCGUGUGUUCAUCUGCUGCUCAUGAACAUCCGCCGCUGCGGCCACUCCGAGAACUACUUUUUCAUUGAGGUGGGCCGCUCCUCCUCCACCGGGGCAGGUGAGCUGUGGAUGCAGGUGGAUGACUGUGUGGUGGCGCAGCACAUGCACGAGACUUUCCUAGACACCAUGAAGGCUCUGAAGGCUUAUUCGGAAUUCAGGCCCCGGAGUAAGAGCCAGUCCUCGGGCACUAAUCCCAUCUCUUUCAUCACCACCAGAAGGUACUUGGGCAACCUGCCCCCCAGUCAGACUGGACUGCAGCAGAGAAGGGCCAGGACUGAGACUGUGGUGGGAACACCCCCCUCUGCUAAAAAUAAUUCUUUUCGUUUUAGAACCUCCAGUGAAGGAGAGGGUACAAUGACCAGGCCUUUCAGGUCUGUGACUGGGAGCCUGAGCCAUUUAAACACUGCACGGAUUAACCUGGGCAAGCAAGAAGGCGUUGGGAGGUAUGUCAGAGCACCUUUUAAUUCCGGCUACCACUCCAGGUCGGCCUCGUUGCCCGUGUCGCAUUUUCCAUCUGCCACCAGCCCUAUAAGCGUGUGUUCUAGCAACGGACACGGCUCUGCCUCUGAAACUCUGACCAGGCCAUCUAGUUCCUCUGUUUGUGGAUCCCCCAGUGAUGGCGGAUUCAUUUCCUCCGACGAGUAUGGUUCCAGCCCUGGGGAUCUAAGAUACUUCCGUGUUCGAAGUAAUACCCCAGAUUCCUUGGGCAAUACACCUCCAAUACAGGAAGAAAAUACAUUAAGUGACUACAUGUCGAUGAGUGCACACAGCCAGCCAGAUUCUAGGGACGAUUAUAUGGAAGCUGAUAAAUGUUUUAGGAAAAGGACAUACUCCCUAACAAAACCCACAAACGCUGCUUCCCAGCAAAAGUCCCAGACUGCUGUUUCAUUGGAUGAGGACUCUGAAGAGACCAACAAACAGUUUGCCUAUGCUGAAUCACCAAAGCUGAAAGACAGUAGCCAUGUCGAGGAUUACAGUAAUGGUGUAAUAGAUUCUGUUUGUAACCAUAGCAGAAGGAAAGCCAGUGAUGAUGGCUACAUGCCAAUGAUGCCUUCUAAUUCAUAUGACAGUGACUACUUGCCCAUGGCCCCGAAAUCAGUGUCUGCGCCAAAACAAAUUAACAGCUGCCCUUCUCAGGUGGAUUCAAAAGGGUAUAUGAUGAUGUUUCCCGUUAAUGGUUCACCUGUCAAAAAUGUAUUUGGAGGGGCUGCUACUAAAAGUAACAUUGAAAAACUGAGCAAUGGAGGCUACAUGGACAUGUCGUACGGGAACUCCAUUAAACAGGUUCAUGACUCUAGUUUAAAUAAUAAUUCUAGGGGAUUGAGUUCCUAUUUUUCGCUACCUAGGAGCUUUAAAAGCUUAACUAAGCAGACCAGUGAUCACAGUGAAUAUGUUCCAAUGUCCUCCCCUGGAAAGCUGCUACAUUUAGGGGCAGAAAAUGGAGUGGAUGCUUGUACUAAUGGAGCAGAUCACAAUGUAGCUAAGACUGAAUUAAAAUCUCCCAGUAGCACACUGGAUCAACAAGUUAAAAGGCCAACUAAACUUAUGCUUGGCAUCAGAGGAAGCAAUACCAUACCACGAAUGUUUGAUCACUCUGCUUCAGCUGAACCUACUAGUCCUGGAGAGUAUAUAAACAUUGACUUCAGUGAUAAAGCAAGUAGUACUCCAUGUUCACUAUCUGCUGAAGGGUCACCUUCCUCUCUGGGGUCAAGCUGCGACCAUCGGCAUUCCCCGCUAUCUGACUACAUGAGCGUGGAUAUUGAUGUACAGUCUCCAAAAGCAACAGCAGAUCUGUGUGACUCUUUAACGGACAUUUCACCGUAUGCAUGCACUGUUGUCUCUAGAAUGCAGCCAAAUGCUGAAUAUGCCAAGCUUCCCUGCGGUACGGCUUGUGUCAGCAAAACGGACAACAGAAUUGAUGAUUACACCACAAUGACUUUUAACAUGGCGAUGACCCCGCCAAGAUCAUUUGCCGGCGAAACAGAAAAUGGUACAAAAGUGGAUAGUCCUUCCUCAAUUGUGAAUCGGUUGUGUAUCGGGGAUUUGACCUCUCUCAACGGGGGAUUUUCUUUACCAAAUCCUUUGCCUGAACCUAUGGCUGGACCUAAAGUUAUCCGUGCAGACUCACAGGGAAGGCGGAGGCACAGUUCUGAAACUUUCUCCUCUGCCAGUACAGUGACCACUUCCUCAUCUUGCUUUACUGAAAGCUCCAAAAGGCACAGCUCAGCCUCAUUUGACAAUGUCUGGCUCAAGUCUGAUGAAAACUGUUGUGAACAAGAGAAUAAAAUGUCCAGAAAUUGCUCGACAGGGUUUCAGAACGGGUUAAACUACAUAGCUCUGAGUAUGCACGAUGGUGUUUGUGAACCAACAUCCCCGGCUUGCCAUCAGCACCAAAACGGAAGUAGAAUUCUGGAAAAUGGGGGUUACGUCAGCAUCGACUUCACAAGGUCUGACUGUCUGAAGUGUCCCUCUUCUAGAAAAGCAGUUGGAUGUCAUAUAUUCAAUGACAGUUAAGCUGGCCAUAGAUGUAAAGAUUUUUGUAAAAGAUCUUUUCGUUAUCGUAAGACCACGGAUACCUGGAAACGAUUUUUUAAGGGGCAGAGACUGAGUGCAUCACCAUGGAAACCACACAGAAGAAAGUGUCACCCCAGCCUCUCCGCUGGAGCGCCGACGACUCAGAAGAAACGCGGGGAGAGAACGCGUGAAGUUGUGCUGAAUUGGAAAUGGAUACCUGCUUUCCCACACAGACUUUACUGUACAGCCAUUUAAAGCUUAUUUUAAUGUGUUGGCAAAGGAAGGUUUUUUUGUUUUGUUUUUUUUAUCAGCAUAAUUAUUUUUUCGAGAGAUGAUAAAUUCUCAUUUGCACAUCUUACAGUUUGUAUACGAGAUCUUGCUGUGCUUCUUAUAGCAGUUCUGUCUAAAACGAGGCAGAAACGGGGACAUGGAAUCCAUUUUAUGGCUCCGUUUCCACUCGUCGAAUCUUUUUAAAAUGGUGCCCGCUUCGGUCCCUCGGGCGGAUAAAAUCUGGGUAACGGAUUUACUCACAGAACAGCAACUGUCAGCUUGUUAACGACCUAUAUAUUCGUUCUACUUUUCUGGUACAGAAGAAAAUAUUAAAUAUGUAAAGUUAAGAAAUAUUUUGAAAGUUUUAAAAAAAAAACAUUUUUUUUUUUUUAAAGUCAAAGUAUAUGUAUUUUACUUGAUCUAUAUUCUGGAAAUAUGCCUCAGAGAAUGAACAAAGAUGCAUUUUUCUAUGGUACGUGACUUGGAAUAUCACAGAGCUUCUGUUUGCGUGAGCCCCGGUCAUUUUCUCCUCUAAGUUAUUCCCAUACGUUCACCCCCCUCGUCUUUUUUUUUUUUUUUUUAUUCCUACGUACAUCCAAUUUUGCAACUUCCCGUGAGCAAAACAAAGACUACAGUAUUAAUUGAUACCUAUAGGCCCUGGUGUAUACAAUCGGGAUAAAUUAAAAGGAUGGAAGGUACUUUCUAACUGUCGAUCCACGACUUUAACGAAAUGUAGCAUUACAUCUAACUGCUCUGAAAGGAAACGGAUUUUAAUAGUGAGGUGGCAUUUGUAUGGAUAUUGAUGGCGUAUGAGGAAUACAAAUGUGGCAGCACAGUUUUAUGUGAAUUGCAAGAACCAUUUAAACAGGUGUUUAUGUUUUUUGGUUAAGGCCUUACACUGAGAAGAACUCUGGCGCUGCAUGAGCUCGGUGACUAGUGAUUAAUGUUUGCCGAUAUUUUUUAUUUUUUAAAGUGUCCUCUACAUCAUUUGGUUCAGUCCUGCUUCUCCCAUGUCAAAGCUUAAUACGGUCACUGUGAAACCAGGAGUAUGCUCUGGCUAUACCCCUUGAAGGCCAGUAUGGAACAAUUCUGACAGUUUUACCACUACACAAAAUGAUUAUGGGAGAGACACUUGACUAGGACUGAUCUGACUGGGGACCAUCAGUACGAAUAGAACGGAUAGAAUUUGGUCGUAUUUGCUGUGAUUAGGGCGACUGGUGAAUUGAAUAUCAGGUUAAGUUACUGAUGGCAGGUCCUGCCUUUCUUACUGAGCAACUUGCAGUACAACAAUUGGCCAUUUUUUUUUCUGUUCCAUAGAAAACAAAGCACCACACCCUUCCACUUCAUCAGCAUUUAAGCUUCAGUAUGAUGUUAGCGGUAUUUUUGUACUAAAAAAAGAAACUUUUAAAUAAGCACUUAAAGGCUCCAUUUAGGUGUGAUCAAUAGAUCCAGAUUGUACAUAUAUGAGAAAAUGUAAAGAACUGAUUUAUGUACCAAAAAAAAAAAAAAAUAUUCAAAAUGUGGAUGCGUUCAAACAGAAUAUACCGAAUGUUUUUUUUCCCCGCAUUAAUUAACUGGCGGUCUGUUGUGGCUCGCUGUAGGUUAUCAACUAUUCUGUCUUCACUUUAACACAAAUUUUUUAAUGGAAUUGAACAGUUGUCUUAAUGCCCCAGACCCAAAAUCUUUGCCCCGCCCCCCCUUCUCCCUCGUGAUCUUGCAGCUGCCAGUUCAGAUCUCAACAACCUCAACCUUAGGUUUAUGUGAGUGUGUUAAAACAGGUACAGCAUAAAAUAUGCAAUCUCUUUAGUUUACAAACAAACAAACAAAAAACUAAUUUAUUCAGUAUUGUGCUGGAAUAUAACUUGGGAGUAUGUAAGCAUAUCACUAGAUAUUAUCUUCCAGCUGCCAGUUUAUGCUGCUGUAUAGUUUAAAAAUUUACCAAUGAUGGAAGAAAUGUUUUUUUUUUUUGUCCUGUAAAUUUAAUUUCAUAUUUGGGAGUUAUUUUGUCUGUACAAAUUAAUAAAAGAAAUGGUUGGUACUGUU